rnacentral:tRNA from 1 species
AGGCGCGUAGCUCAAUGUGUAGAGCACCAUCAUUACAUGAUGAAGAAGGUUGUUCAAUUCCUCCCGCGCCUACCA